CAGUCGCCGCGGGAAAACGGAGGGUGCGAGCGUUAAUCGGAAUUACUGGGCGUAAAGCGUACGCAGGCGGUUUGUUAAGUCAGAUGUGAAAUCCCCGAGCUUAACUCGGGAACUGCAUUUGAAACUGGCAGGCUAGAGUCUCGUAGAGGGGGGUAGAAUUCCAGGUGUAGCGGUGAAAUGCGUAGAGAUCUGGAGGAAUACCGGUGGCGAAGGCGGCCCCCUGGACAAAGACUGACGCUCAGGUGCGAAAGCGUGGGGAGCAAACAGGAUUAGAUACCCGCGUAGUCCCUGUCUCUUAUAC
rnacentral:rRNA from 1 species